GGGGCGGCAGGUAGCCUAGUGGUUAGAGUGGAGGGGCGGAAGGUAGCCUAGUGGUUAGAGUGGAGGGGCGGCAGGUAGCCUAGUGGUUAGAGUGGAGGGGCGGCAGGUAGCCUAGUGGUUAGGGUGGAGGGGCGGCAGGGUAGCCUAGUGGUUAGAGUGUAGGGGCGGCAGGUAGUCUAGUGGUUAGAGUGGAGGGGCGGCAGGUAGCCUAGUGGUUAGAGUGGAGGGGCGGCAGGGUAGCCUAGUGGUUAGAGUGGAGGGGCGGCAGGGUAGCCUAGUGGUUAGAGUGGAGGGGCGGCAGGUAGCCUAGUGGUUAGAGAGGAGGGGCGGAAGGUAGCCUAGUGGUUAGAGUGGAGGGGCGGAAGGUAGCCUAGUGGUUAGAGUGGAGGGGCGGAAGGUAGCCUAGUGGUUAGAGUGGAGGGGCGGCAGGUAGCCUAGUGGUUAGAGUGGAGGGGCGGCAGGUAGCCUAGUGGUUAGAGUGGAGGGGCGGCAGGUAGCCUAGUGGUUAG
ensembl:lncRNA